rnacentral:rRNA from 1 species
AGUCACUGACAUUAGAUACCCGGGUAGUCCAGGGUGUAAACGCUGCAGACUUGGUGUUGGAAGUCCUUUGGGGGCAUUCAGUGCCGGAGAGAAGUUGUUAAGUCUGCUACUUGGGGAGUACGUCCGCAAGGAUGAAACUUAAAGGAAUUGGCGGGGGAGCACCGCAACGGGAGGAGCGUGCGGUUUAAUUGGAUUCAACACCGUAAACUCACCAGGGAAGACUGUUACAUGAAAGCCGAGAUGAAGACUCUGCUAGAUUUUUCAG